AGCGAACGCUGGCGGCAGGCCUAACACAUGCAAGUCGAACGAAGUCUUCGGACUUAGUGGCGGACGGGUGAGUAACACGUGGGAACGUGCCUUUAGGUUCGGAAUAACUCAGGGAAACUUGUGCUAAUACCGAAUGUGCCCUUCGGGGGAAAGAUUUAUCGCCUUUAGAGCGGCCCGCGUCUGAUUAGCUAGUUGGUGAGGUAAAGGCUCACCAAGGCUACGAUCAGUAGCUGGUCUGAGAGGAUGACCAGCCACAUUGGGACUGAGACACGGCCCAAACUCCUACGGGAGGCAGCAGUGGGGAAGCUUGCGCAAUGGGCGAAAGCCUGACGCAGCCAUGCCGCGUGGAUGAUGAAGGUCUUAGGAUUGUAAAAUCCUUUCACCGGUGAAGAUAAUGACUGAAGCCGGAGAAGAAGCCCCGGCUAACUUCGUGCCAGCCGCCGCAGUAACAC
rnacentral:rRNA from 1 species